UACGGAGGGGGCAAGCGUUGUUCGGAGUUACUGGGCGUAAAGCGCGCGUAGGCGGUGCGGUAAGUCAGGGGUUAAAGGCUGCAGCUCAACUGCAGUAAGGCCUUUGAUACUAUCGUGCUAGAGUGUCAGAGAGGAUGGCGGAAUUCCUGGUGUAGCGGUGAAAUGCGUAGAUAUCGGGAGGAACACCAGUAGCGAAGGCGGCCAUCUGGCUGGUAACUGACGCUGAGGUGCGAGAGCGUGGGGAGCAAACAGG
rnacentral:rRNA from 1 species